UACGAGGGGUGCAAGCGUUGCUCGGAAUUAUUGGGCGUAAAGGGUAGGUAGGUGGUCUCAUUUGUCUGAGGUGAAAGCCUUGAGCUCAACUCAAGAAGUGCCUCAGAAACGGUGAGACUGGAGUCCUGGAGAGGGUCGUGGAAUUCCCGGUGUAGCGGUGAAAUGCGUAGAGAUCGGGAGGAACACCAGCGGCGAAGGCGGCGACCUGGACAGGCACUGACACUGAGGAACGAAAGCCAGGGGAGCAAACGGG
rnacentral:rRNA from 1 species